rnacentral:rRNA from 1 species
UGGGGAAUUUUGGACAAUGGGGGAAACCCUGAUCCAGCCAUCCCGCGUGUGCGAUGAAGGCCUUCGGGUUGUAAAGCACUUUUGUCAGGAAAGAAACGUCAUGGGUUAAUACCCCGUGAAACUGACGGUACCUGCAGAAUAAGCACCGGCUAACUACGUGCCAGCAGCCGCGGUAAUACGUAGGGUGCAAGCGUUAAUCGGAAUUACUGGGCGUAAAGCGUGCGCAGGCGGUUCGGAAAGAAAGAUGUGAAAUCCCAGAGCUCAACUUUGGAACUGCAUUUUUAACUACCGGGCUAGAGUGUGUCAGAGGGAGGUGGGAUUCCGCGUGUAGCAGUGAAAUGCGUAGAUAUGCGGAGGAACACCGAUGGCGAAGGCAGCCUCCUGGGAUAACACUGACGCUCAUGCACGAAAGCGUGGGGAGCAAACAGG